UUCUGUGGGGACGGAGCGGCCGGCCGCAACUUGCGGUUCGAGCUAGCGCUUUCCCUACAUCCUGCCGCGAACCGUGCUACCAUUAGUUUGGUGGCGCCGGGGAUCGGCUCGUUUACUUUGAGAAAAAUAGAGUGUUCAAAGCAGGCCACACGCCUUGAAUAAGUUAGCAUGGAAUAAUAAUAAAGGACUUCGGUUCUAUUUUGUUGGUGUUCGGGACUGAAGUAAUGAUUGAUAGGGACAGUUGGGGCGGUCAGUAUUCCAAAGCGAGAGGUGAAAUUCUUAGACCUUCGGAAGACUAACAGCUGCGAAAGCGUUCCGCAAGGAUGUUCCCUUUGAUCAAGAACGAAAGUUGGGGGAUCGAAGACGAUCAGAUACCGUCGUAGUCUCAACUAUAAACUAUACCAGCUAGGGAUCGGCCAACGUUAAAUUAUUCGACUUGGUCGGCACCUUAUGAGAAAUCAAAGCAUCUGGGUUCCGGGGGGAGUAUGGUCGCAAGGCUGAAACUUAAAGGAAUUGACGGAAGGGCACCACCAGCCGUGGAGCCUGUGGCUUAAUUUGACUCAACACGGGAAAACUUACCAGGUCCAGACAUAGUAAGGAUUGACAGAUUGAUAGCUCUUUCUUGAUUCUGUGGGUGGUGGUGCAUGGCCGUUCUUAGUUGGUGGAGUGAUUUGUCUGGUUAAUUCCGUUAACGAACGAGACCCCAGCCUGCUAAAUAGCGUGGUUGAGCUUUGCUCGGCGCAAGCUUCUUAGAGGGACUAUGAUGCGCGAUAGCACAUGGAAGUUUGGGGCAAUAACAGGUCUGUGAUGCCCUUAGAUGUUCUGGGCCGCACACGGGCUACACUGGCGCCUGCAACGAGCAUAUCAGCUGGCCCGAGAGGGUCUUGGCUAAUCUUUUGAACCGGCGCCGUGCUUGGGAUUGACCAUUGCAAUUGUUGGUCAUGCAACGAGGAAUGCCUUGUAAACGCGAGUCAUCAACUCGCAUUGAAUACGUCCCUGCCCUUUGUACACACCGCCCGUCGCUCUACCGAUGAUGUCCGAUGAAUUUUCGGA
rnacentral:rRNA from 1 species